rnacentral:lncRNA from 1 species
GAACAAUAUUACGACGCAGCUAGUGGUUCUGGUUAUCUGACCUGGAGAAUAAAGACAGUGGGGCGCAACAAAUCAUGUAAGAUCAAGAGGAGAACCAAGUCCACCUAUCAAAAUGGUCCCAAGGCUCAACACAGUUCCCCUUCAGCUGUUGAGGAACUGUUAGAUGAACAAGUGUCCAUGUCUGAGGUCUCUAUAUGCUCAGUUGGGUCUGAUUCGUCUGGAUCAACUUUAACUCUGGAAAAAACCAAGGCAAGAAAAAGAGGUCUGACUGAUGAACCUACAGACAGAAAGGCAGCAAGAGAUGUGAGUUGUGUAAAAUGUUGCGGUUAGCUCAACUACUAGCGCGUUAGUGAUACUACUUUAAAACAUGUGCAGCUGUUUCUGUUCCGCCUAUUUACAUACCCUUGUCUUCUUGUCCAUUACCAGUACCUUGAAGAUGCUCGGCUGAUCACAAGGCUUCUAUUGUUUUGAUGUGUUUUUCUAGAUGAUCAGUGCCAUCCUUCACUCAAAGCCAGGUGGAGAAAAGGUAUUCCAGGAGUAUGGGAAAACCAAAGGUCUUACGGAUAGCACACGGAGGCUGAUGGUGAACAUUAUUGUGGCCGACAUGAUGGAAAGUCAUGGGUACGUGAAUAAUUCAAUGUGUGAUGACCAAAGCUGUAUUAUGUUUAACUGCAUGAUUUUAGUCAAACUUCUAGUACCUGUGUGUUCAUACUGGGGGGGGGUUUCCCCCGGCACCAUCCAUCAGCUUUAGAUCAAACCAUGUAACAGGGCUGACUGCCGUUUUGCUGAGAAAUGAAUCACUGAUGGUAGCUUUAACCAGAAUUUUUAUUCUUUUUUUUUUUUUUUUCCAACCUUUAUUUAACUAGGCAAGUCGCUUCAAAUUCAAGUAACUUUUGAUUUCCUGAGGGAACUUCCUAUGUACUGAUGGGUGGAUGCAUACAAUACACAUUAAAACAGUAUUUUAUUUUAAACUAUUUAUAUAUUUGUUGUAUUCAUCCUCGAAGGAGGAUCCCCCCAUCUAGUGUCCGCACCAACUACGCCCUGGGGAUUGUGACUUUAUUCCCCUACUUGAAUGAUCCAGAUUCAGAGCAUGGUUAUGAAAAAUAUUAUGAUGCAGCUAGUGGGUCUGGUUACCUGACCUGGAGAAUAAAGACAGUGGGGCGCAACACGUCAUGUAAGACCAAGAAGAGAACCAAGCCCUCCUAUCAAAAUGGUCCCAAGGCUCAGCGAAGUUGCCCUUCAGCUGUUGAGCAACUGUCGGGGGAUGAAUGCAGAGAGGCGAUAUCUGUGCUUCAGCAUACAACAACUAAUGAGUCACUGGUUCGAGAGAAGAUGAUGGUGACGUUCCAAUACAGACAGGAGGUGGUUCAUGAUCCGGAGAAGUCCUCAACUGUCCUAGAUGUCUUCCCCAGAUUCCUUGACACUACAGGCUUGGUAAGACUGUAUGAAUAGAAUUCAUCAUGUUUUAGUGAUUUUAAAAGAAAGUGGAAAGUUAAUUAAUUUUGAUUUUUUUGUUGUUGUUGAAUGUACUUCAGAUCAACCAAGAUUUCACCAGACUUUUCGGAGAGGUGGUGUCUGGGACAUUUAUGGCGAAGUGGCCAACAUUUUUCAAACCCAGGGUCAUUGCAGAUUGCAAAACCCUUCCCUUUAGUGAACCUGUGGAAGACCUAAUCUCAUCUGCGCAGCAGGAAUCCAAUGAUUAUGGUACUAGUGCAGAACUCAAAUAUAUGUUCUUUGGUGUUUCCAAUGACUUUUCUAACUUGACCAUACAAUGUCUGAGUGAAACUGGCAUGUGAGCUUUUACUGAGCAUUUCUUGUUUUCCACUGAAAAAUUAGGAUGGGAGAGUGACUUGGCAGCCAUUUUGUUGCUUCUGCAUCUCCUACCCCCGACCUCAAAGGGCCCGAAGACCGCAAAGAUCCGUACCUCUCAAGCUGCUGACCAUCUGGUUAGAUUUAUGAAGGUUUGUAUGUUCUGUGAUCUUUGUGCACUUUUCCUUUCCUUAGGACAGUACUUUUUAGCAAUACACAGCUCCUGUUUGCCCCUCCCCUGCCACUUUGACAGUUUCACAUUAUGGUCUCCAGAGGUGUAGCCAAAUUCAAUUACAUCCCAUGUAAAUAGGAUAACCAUCCAUUUUAUGAAACUCUGAGCGCA